AUGUAUCUCCAGUACUACAUCAACGAGAAGGGCGUCAAGGUGUACACCACCAAGAAGGAAUCCCCUCUCGGUGUGCCGACGCAGUCUGCCCACCCAGCUCGUUUCUCCCCGGAUGACAAGUACGCCCGUCAGCGUUACCUGUUGAAGAAGAGGUUUGGAUUGCUGCCAACCCAACAGCCAGCACAAAAGUACUGA
rnacentral:rRNA from 1 species